CUGUUGAUCUUGCAAUGGGCGGCAUCUAGAGUAAUUUAGAUGUGUUUAUCUGUCAAAUUCGGGGAAGCCGGUCAAAGGUAAUCCCGAGCCAAGUCGCGAACUUUUUUUAAUUAACUUUAAUUUAAAAAGGUGCGCGGAAGGUGUAGAGACUUUACGGCAGACAUCCUAAAAUAGGAUGAAGAGAAAGUCCAGACUACAAAUAAUCUA
rnacentral:ncRNA from 1 species